rnacentral:lncRNA from 1 species
UGAUCUAAAAUUUUAUUAGGAUUUAAUUAAAAUUUGAUCAGUAUUUAAUUAAUAUUUGAUUUAAAAUUUGGAUAGGAUUGAAGAUUUAUUUAGUAUUGGUUUAAGAUAUUAUUAAAGUUUGAUCAGGAUUUUUUCUAAGAUUUGAUUAGAUUUUAGUUAAGAUUUGGUUUUAGAUUUUAUUAAGAUUUGAUCUAGGAUUUAGUUAGAAUUUAGGAUUUUUUUAGGAUUUGGUCUAGGAUUUAAUUAGAAUUUAGGAUUUGUUUAAAAUUUAAAGUUUAUUUAAGACUGAUUUAAAGCUUCAUAAGGAUUUGUUUAGGAUUUUAUUAAAUUUUGAUUAGAGUUUAUUUAGGAUUUUAUUAGUAUUUUUUGAGGAUUAUAUCAAGAUUUGAUUAGGAUCCAGUUAUGAUUUUAAUUUUUAAUUUUUUUAAUAAUAUUUCUUUGAUAUUUUUUUAAGAUAUUUUUAUU